rnacentral:rRNA from 1 species
GAGGUCCAGCCUGCCCAGUGACAAAGUUCAACGGCCGCGGUACCCUAACCGUGCGAAGGUAGCAUAAUCACUUGUUCUUUAAAUGAGGACUUGUAUCAACGGCACUACGAGGGCUAUACUGUCUCCUUUUUCUAAUCAGUGAAACUGAUCUCCCCGUGAAGAAGCGGGGAUCAAAAUAUAAGACGAGAAGACCCCAUGGAGCUUUAAACUCAUCACGCACCUCUGUGCCCUCAUACCCUUAAACACAAGAGAUCUACGUGCUAGUUUUAGGUUGGGGGGACCACGGAGUAUAACUUAACCUCCAUAACAAAUGGGCUAACACCCUUAUCCAUGAGACACAGCUCUAAGAAUUACUAAACUAAUGCUUAUGACCCGAUAUUCGAUCAAUGAACCAAGUUACCCUGGGGAUAACAGCGCAAUCUACUUCAAGAGCCCAUAUCGAC